rnacentral:lncRNA from 13 species
AGACACCAAAUAUGCUGGUGCCUUGAUCUUGGACUUCCCAGCCCCUAGAACUGUCAUAAGACCCCUAUUCUAGGGGUGCCCUCCCUAUACCUGGAGGAAAGACACAUCCUCAUCUCUGAAGACAGAAGAACACGGAGAAGAAUCUGAGUAAGCAGGCCUUGUGCCUCAUCCAUGAACCUAGUAAUGGGUGAAGAAAGAAAUCUUUUCUCCCCGACAGAGACUGCAGUGUGACUGUACUGUGACAAAGCCAGUACUGCCUACCUCCAGCUCCACAUCCAUG